GGACUACUAGGGUUUCUAAUCCCGUUCGCUCCCCUGGCUUUCGCGCCUCAGCGUCAGAAGAGGUCCAGCACGCCGCUUUCGCCACCGGCGUUCCUUCCGAUAUCUACGCAUUUCACCGCUCCACCGGAAGUUCCGCAUGCCCCUGCCUCCCUCGAGACGAUCAGUAUCGAAGGCACGUUUCCAGUUAAGCUGAAAGAUUUCACCCCCGACUUGACCGUCCGCCUACGCGCCCUUUAAGCCCAGUGAAUCCGAACAACGUUCGCACGGUUCGUCUUACCGCGGCUGCUGGCAC
rnacentral:rRNA from 1 species